GGGAAAGUUAGAAGGCGGGGAGAUAUGACAGUACAAGAAAUGAACCUAGAACUUCCCUGCAGAAUGCUACAGCUUCCUUUCCUCUUCAGUGUUCUUGUCUUGUGGAGUCAUAAACCUCAGUGGAACUUUGGCACAAGCUUGUCACUGUGUGCAGAGAUGAAGGAGAUGCCCUCUGAAGAUGGCUCUAUCCCUUUUCUGAUUAUAAACAUGAAAACAGCCAGAAGGGACUGUUGCAGUCAUCCCGAAUGAAUGAGGUGAAUCCCACUUUCUGUUUCUGUCUGUAGUGAUCUGUUUUUUAAAAGGGCAUAGAAUCCAUCUGGUUUCCAGCUUGAUCAGAUGCCAAUGUGCUCUGAGAGUCUUUAAUAGUCUUCAAUAGUCCAAGAUAGAGGGGAGGAGCUAGCACUGAAAAGGGGAGAAAACUCUCAAAUCUUUGUAUUUUAUUUAUGAGAAUGUGUACAUGUAAGUACAUGUAAUAAUACAAUACUAAUACAAUACAUGUAAAGAUAGUAAAUAUGAGACAACACAUGUAAACUAUAAAAAGAAAUGUUGCAUUGUGUCAGUACCUGAAAGGGGCCUGCAAGAAGGCUGGAGAGGGAUUUUUUCCAAGGGUAUGUAGUGAUAGGACAAGGGGCAGUGGCAUUGAGCUGAAGUGAGGGAGAAUUAGGCUAGAUACUAGAAAAAAAUUCUUUACUGUGAGGGUGGUGAGGCACUGGAACAUGUUGCCCAGAGAAGUUGUGGAUGCCCCAUCCUUAGCAGUGUUUAAGGCCAUGUUGGACAGGGCUCUGAGCAACCUGGUAAAACCUAGUGAAAGGUGGCAGUGGGGUUGGAACUGUAUGACCUUUACAGUCCCUUCCAGCCCAAACCAUUCCAUGACUGUAUAAUGGCAAGGGAGAGAGCUGAGCAGUCUAAGGAUUAGAUCUACAGGGAAAAAGAGGGUGUACACAGUUAAAUUAUUUGGGAUACCAAGUUGAAUUAACAAAGACAUGCCUAGACCAGCAAAAGCAGGAAAACUUGCUGCCAUGGGAAGCGUUGUAGUGAGCAAAGAAGAGAUAGUUUCCUGCAUCUUGAUAUGAGUCAGUCUCUAAAUGCAACAAAUUGAGAAAUACUUUUAUCCUGUGGAUAAGUUACUUGAUAAUUAGUAAUAGGUUAGAAUGUUUUGGAUGUUUUUCCUGAGACACCUAAUGUGGAUGACUGACACAGAACCAAGAAUUCUGUAUUAUGUACAGUAACUUGGAUAGGUAGGCUUUUU
rnacentral:lncRNA from 1 species